rnacentral:lncRNA from 1 species
GAAGAAUGGUGUGGCAUGAUGGUGUGGCGGGAGGUUGUAGCCAGAGAGAGAGUUAGGGAGAGAUAGGGAGUGAAUGUUGGAGAAGGGAAGGAUCUGCCGGGUGAGUGAGAUGCUUGGGGAAAUAGAGUGGGGUAGCUGGAGCCUUGGGGGAAGAAUGACAGGGUGAGUUGGGGCAAUUAGGACAUGUCGUAGACAGCGGGCGGAGAGAGAGACAAUGGACGAGAAGGAGUGGUGUGUGUGUGUGGCCGACGGGGGUCGAUAGGUAGACGAUGGUUGCCGAGGUUGGCAACGCAAGUGAAUGAAAAUGGUGUGCGUGCGUGGCCUGGUCUAGGUCGAGAGAUGGUUAGUGGUCGCCGAUAUCGGUGACGAGAGGGAAUGAUCAGAGUGUGUGUGAGUGGCCUGGUAUGGGUCGAGAGAUGGCUAACGGUCGCCGAUGUUGGUGACGAAAAUCAAAUGAAUAAAAAUGGUGUGCGUGCGUGGCCUGGUAUAGGUCGAGAGAUGGUUAGUGGUCGCCGAUAUCGGUGACGAGAGGGAAUGGUCAGAGUGUGUGUGAGUGACCUGGUAUAGGUCGUGAGAUGGCGAACGGUCGCCGAUGGUGGUGACGGGAGAGAAGGAUUAGAGUGUGUAUAUGUGGCCUGACAGGGGGUCGAUAGGUGAAUGAUGGUCGCCGUUGUUAGUGACGAAAAUGAUUGAAACUCGUGUGCGUGUGUGGCCACUAGGGGUCAAUAGGUGUUAAUGGUUGCCAAAUCUUGGCGGUGAAUGGUACCACUGGUACGCCUGGAGUGCCGUCAGGGAACGGACACCUAGGGUAGGUAGAGUUGUAGGUGCAGGAGGAAAAAUUGGAGUUCCGUAGUGAACUAUUGGUAGAGGCAUAGGGUUUUAUAUUGUUGCACCUCACGCAUGUAUUUUGAGUUUUACCGUACUGAGUUAAAUGAACUCACUCUUUCUCUUUUUACAGAUGAUGUAGGGAUGGAGUCUGGAUCGAAGUUGUUGGAUUCCGAACCUAAUGUGUAGAGUACAAGGUGAAGAGUUUCGUUUUGUUUUGACUGAAUGGAAUAUGUAGAAUUGAUGGUAGUAUAGAUAUUGAGUAUGGUUGUAUUGUGUGCGAUAUAUUGUCUAUGAUUGUAGGAUUAUCUUGAUCAUUGGAUAGUGCUAGUGUUUCCUUUUUACAGAUGAUGUAGGGACGGAGUCUGGAUCGAAGUUGUUGGAUUCCGAACCUAGUGUGUAGAGUACAGAAUAAAGAGUUUCAUUUUAUUUUGACUGAAUGGAAUAUGUAGAAUUGAUGGUAGUAUAGAUAUUGAGUAUGGUUGUAUUGUGUGCGAUGUCUUGCCCAUGAUUGUAGGACUAUCUUGAUCAUUGGAUAAUGGAUUAUGUUAGUGGUUCCUUGUGCAUGACCGUUUUGUUAUGGAAUUGGUUGCUUGUUAAGUACGUCCAAUAUGAAAAAAAAAUGGGGCGUUACAUAAGAUCUCUUUUUUGACCUCUUCCCUCCUUUUUUUUUGGAUUGGACUUUUUCUUUAUGGUCCGCGUCCAUGCUCACAUCAGUUUGGGUACAAGUUAUGGGAUCCAAUAAAAAGAAAGUCAUUAGGUCCAUAAAUGUGAUCUUUGAUGAACACAAGUCCUUGUUGAACUUUGAGACAUUAGAGAAGACUACAAGAAGUAAAUAUAUUCAUCUUCCUAUACUUGUUAAAAGAUCAAUUAGAACACAUCAUCCAUUCUUAUAUCCCAAUUCUAAGUAUAUCAUGAUUACUAAAAAAAAAAGAGCCAGAGAACUUCCAAUAUGUUUAUAUUCACAAAGAAAAAACUUAGUGGAUUAACACAAUGCAGUAAGAGAUGAGUUCUUUGAAUAAGAUUC